rnacentral:rRNA from 1 species
ACCCGCUGAAUUUAAGCAUAUAAGUAAGUGGUGGAAAUUAAACCAACUGGGAUCUCUUCAGUAAUUGCGCAUGAACCAGGAUAUGCUUAGCUUGACAAAUGGAGCUGCUGGCUCUGAAUUGUAUUGUGGGAAUGUAUUACCAACAGAGGUGCAGGUCACACUCCUUGGCAUUGGAAUGCAAAGUGGGUGGUAAGUUUCAUGCAAAGGUAAAUAUGCAAUUGAGACUGAUAGCGCACAAGUACCAUGAGGGACAUAUGAAAAGGACUUUGAAAAGAGAAUUAAAUGAGUUUGUAUUUGCUAAACACAAAGUAAACAGACUUGAUUUCCUCAGUGAGAUUGUAGUGCUUGCUUAACAAUGGGUUUUGGCUGCAAGUGCAAUAAUUCUUGCUUUGUGUGCCAGUUUUUAUGUGGACAUUUGAUUACCUUUGCACAUGAAUGGUAAUUUUCCUGCGGGGUGUGGAUUGCAUAUGCAUGUAAUGAUUUGCAUGUUUGUUAAAUGUGUCUGGUGUAUUUGUUUGUGUCCUUGUCCUUGAGGUUGCUUUCUCCCUUGGGCUUACAUGCCCUGGCACACACAUUCUGGCAAAAUGCUUCUGCUUGACCCGUCUUGAAACACGGUCCAAGG